AUGGCAGCGCGGAGGUGGCUGCUCUGGCCGAGAGGGACCACGGUGGAGCAAUUCAAGGAGUGGCUGAAGCAGUUCGACGUGGACGGCGACGGCCGGAUCAGCAAGGCGGAGCUCCGCCAGGCCAUCCGCCGCCGGGGCUGCUGGUUCGCCACCCUCAGGGCUGGGCGAGCCCUCCGCCACGCCGACAGGGACAAGAGCGGCUACAUCGAAGACGCCGAGAUUGAGAAUCUCGUCGCGUUCGCGCAGAAAGACCUCGGCAUGAAGAUCUCUCCAUGUGAAGUACAGACCUGCCGCUUGCGGGGCUUCCUCGGAGCCUUCUCCGUCGCCGGGGCCUUCCGCUUCCUCGCGCCGGCGGUGGUGCCCUGCGAG
rnacentral:rRNA from 1 species